GAUGAACGCUAGCGACAGGCUUAACACAUGCAAGUCGAGGGGCAGCGGGGUGUAGCAAUACACUGCCGGCGACCGGCGCACGGGUGCGUAACACGUAUGCAACCUACCUACAAGAGGGGAAUAACCCGGCGAAAGUCGGACUAAUACCGCAUAACACAGGGGUCCCGCCUGGGAAUAUUUGUUAAAGGAGCAAUCCGCUUGUAGAUGGGCAUGCGUUCCAUUAGAUAGUUGGUGAGGUAACGGCUCACCAAGUCAGCGAUGGAUAGGGGUUCUGAGAGGAAGGUCCCCCACACUGGUACUGAGACACGGACCAGACUCCUACGGGAGGCAGCAGUGAGGAAUAUUGGUCAAUGGGCGAGAGCCUGAACCAGCCAAGUCGCGUGAAGGAAGAAGGAUCUAUGGUUUGUAAACUUCUUUUACAGGGGAAUAAAAAGGGAACGUGUUCCCUAUUGUAUGUACCCUGUGAAUAAGCAUCGGCUAACUCCGUGCCAGCAGCCGCCGUAAGAC
rnacentral:rRNA from 1 species